rnacentral:rRNA from 1 species
AUACGUAGGGUGCAAGCGUUAAUCGGAAUUACUGGGCGUAAAGCGUGCGCAGGCGGUUUUGUAAGACAGAGGUGAAAUCCCCGGGCUCAACCUGGGAACUGCCUUUGUGACUGCAAGGCUAGAGUACGGCAGAGGGGGAUGGAAUUCCGCGUGUAGCAGUGAAAUGCGUAGAUAUGCGGAGGAACACCGAUGGCGAAGGCAAUCCCCUGGGCCUGUACUGACGCUCAUGCACGAAAGCGUGGGGAGCAAACAGGAUUAGAUACCCUGGUAGUCCACGCCCUAAACGAUGUCAACUGGUUGUUGGGUCUUAACUGACUCAGUAACGAAGCUAACGCGUGAAGUUGACCGCCUGGGGAGUACGGCCGCAAGGUUGAAACUCAAAUGAAUUGACGGG